GGAUCCAAUUAGCUUGAGAAAAAUGUUCACUCUUGCUUAUGUGAAGCUUGGGUAAGGUUGAAAACAAAUAAUUGGAGCUUGAAAUUGUGAAUACUGGAACUUGGAGGAAGCGGAUUAGUUGAGUUUUGAGGGGCUGUCUUGGUUUUGAAUAAAUAGCUUUGGUCGUUACGUGGAAAUCGGCCAAGAUGCAGGUCGAGAGGCAUCUCGUUAGGCGUCUGGACUCUUGAAGCGGAGUGGUUACUGGGAUAUUUUGUUAUGCUAUGAUGUAUAUAUAUGUACUUAGCUUUCUUUCCGCAUGACUUAUUCUUUUUGAUCCUCUUAGAGGUUUAUGGAGAGGCAGGAUUGUGUAUAUGUACUUUUGGGUUUUGGGUUUGUAUGUAUAUAUGUGUAAAUAUGCUCCGGCCAGUCUUGACUUCGCA